UUCUGUCUCGCCCAUCCCGUUGCUCCAAUAUUCUAACAACAAGUGAUUAUUGAGCAAUGCGCAUGUGCGGGAUAGAC
rfam:Caenorhabditis elegans chromosome X